UGCAAGUCGAGGGGCAGCAUCAUCAAAGCUUGCUUUGAUGGAUGGCGACCGGCGCACGGGUGAGUAACACGUAUCCAACCUGCCGACAACACUGGGAUAGCCUUUCGAAAGAAAGAUUAAUACCGGAUGGUAUAGUUUUCCCGCAUGGGAUGAUUAUUAAAGAAUUUCGGUUGUCGAUGGGGAUGCGUUCCAUUAGGCAGUUGGCGGGGUAACGGCCCACCAAACCUACGAUGGAUAGGGGUUCUGAGAGGAAGGUCCCCCACAUUGGAACUGAGACACGGUCCAAACUCCUACGGGAGGCAGCAGUGAGGAAUAUUGGUCAAUGGACGAGAGUCUGAACCAGCCAAGUAGCGUGAAGGAUGACUGCCCUAUGGGUUGUAAACUUCUUUUAUACGGGAAUAAAGUGAGCCACGUGUGGCUUUUUGUAUGUACCGUAUGAAUAAGGAUCGGCUAACUCCGUGCCAGCAGCCGCGGUAAUACGGAGGAUCCGAGCGUUAUCCGGAUUUAUUGGGUUUAAAGGGAGCGUAGGCGGGUUGUUAAGUCAGUUGUGAAAGUUUGCGGCUCAACCGUAAAAUUGCAGUUGAUACUGGCGACCUUGAGUGCAACAGAGGUAGGCGGAAUUCGUGGUGUAGCGGUGAAAUGCUUAGAUAUCACGAAGAACUCCGAUUGCGAAAGGCAGCUUACUGGAUUGUAACUGACGCUGAUGCUCG
rnacentral:rRNA from 1 species